rnacentral:lncRNA from 1 species
UCUGGACUUACUGAGGUUCAGGUUCUUUUUGUCUCAGCACAGAAGGAAUUUAGUGAGAGACAAAGUGAUAGGCAAGUAAUAGACUUAUUAAGAUAGGACAAUUGUAAGAGAUACAAGCAAGGAGGCUCUGCCCAGAGGAUGAGGUGGGUUACAUUUUCAUAACCCAAGGAAAGUGGGGGAGUAGGAAAAGACCACCUUCUUCCUCAUUCUUCAGGUAGACGUCAGGCUAGCGUCACUAGCUCCUCCUUCAUAUCGGGUAAGAGAGUAUUUGAACCAUGAGAUCAAACUAGGACUGUCAUGGUGCUUCUUCAAGGCAGCAGAAGGGUGGUAACAUAGGCUAAAAUGUGUUGAAUCAUCUCAGGUUUCCAUAUAAUGAGGAUCUCCUACUUUGGAAUGUCAUCUUUUCCUUAAAUUCCUGUCCGUGGUCCUAAGAAUCGUUAUCAUGCUGAACUUGAAUGCAGGCCUCAUUUUAUCUUUCACUUAAUGACCAGAGGUAUAUCUCAUGCUUUUAUUUAUGGUUUUUUUUUUUUUUAAUUUUUAUAUUUGUAUUUUUAGGGCUGCACCCGCGGCAUAUGGUUCCCAGGCUCUGGGUUGAAUUGGAGCUGCAGCUGCUGGCCUAUACCACAGCAACAGCAAUGCCAGAUCCUUAAUCACUGAGUGAGGCCAGGAAUCGAACUCACAUCCUCAUGGAUACUAGUCAGGUUGUCGCCACUGAGCCACAAUAGGAAUUUCUAUUUAUGGUUUUAUAGUUAAGCAAGCCUGCUUCAUCCCACAAUGUUCUGAUGGCUUUCUUGAGUGAUUAUUAUCUUACAAGGGUCUCCCAAAGUUCCCUAGGUUUCCCUCUCUAGCUCUGGUCCCCUACUGGGACUUCUACAACUACCUGUGUAACUAUCCUGCUCCAUUCCUAUCAGUCCCAUGCUGACCUUGUGGUCUUGGCUCUGACAAAUCCGAUUCUACUUUCAUUGUUGGAUUAUCUACUGUGUUGUAGUCUCUCUUGUCUGCCAGUCUGCCUGGUGUCUAUAACCCUGGACCUGCCUUGAUUUUUGUCUGUUCCCUUUCCUGUCCUAAUACUGACCCGUCCCCCUGCCUCCUCUGAGAGUACCUACUGUGGGACUCUCUUCUUCCUCCUCACUGCCUCUUAUCAAGUCCUCCCAAGGUUUCAAAUUCACUGCCUUCUUCCCUUGUCAGGUCCCACAUUCUUGGGCUCUCUGGUUCCCCCAUCCUGGAUGCUCUCCCUCAUCCCCUCCCCCCAGCGUGCCUGACCCACCUUCCUUCCCUUGGUGGUUAACCCUUCCUUGCCCAGUUCAUCUCAGAGUCCCUCAAGCCCAAGCUCCUUUAACAUCCAGCUACACAGAUUUUUCAUGUUUCUUUCUUUCUGUCUGUCUGUCUUUUUAGGGCUGCACCCAUGGCAUAUGGAGGUUCCCAGGCUGGGGGUCAAAUUAGAGCUGUAGCCAGGGGUCACAGCCACAGCCAUAGCAACUCGGAAUUCGAGCUGUGUCUGUGACCUACACCACAGCUCAUGGCAACACAGGACCCUUAACCCACUGAGCAAGGCCAGGGAUUGAACCUGCAUCCUCGUGGAUGAUAGAUUUGUUUCCACUAGCCACGCAGGGAACUCCUAUUGUCUUUCUUUAGUCUUCUGUUGCUUCUCUUGCUCCAAGCCUGCCAUCCCCAGAAUAGAUAGUCUGAUAAAUAGGGAAGCAAGUAUGCCCCUGACAACCAUAAGUGUUUGUUCCUGAACUCCCUCAUGGCCUGUGACUAUUUGGGGAGCAGGAACAAGACUGCAAAGCCAGGGGAGAAAACUUCCCUGGGAAAUUUGAUUUCAAGUUCAGUUGUCCCUUUUGCUGCCUCUUGUGCAGAGCUUGCACAGAGUUGUUUUGCUUUGUUUUUCCCCAAAAGUGACAGCCUUGUUAAAAUCAGCCCUGCAGUCCUGUUAUGAGGGUAGUAGAAACUUUGGCUGGAAAGUUAAUAAUUUCCAUGCUGUUUUGCAUAAGCUUACAGCUGGUGUCUCUAGAGUCAAACUUGUCAGAUAAAUAAAAUUAAGGCUGUGAGGUUGUUAUCUAAAACCUACCACAGUUCUAUUCCCAUCAGAGUUUUAGGGAAUAGAAUAGGGAAGAUGAAGAAGAGAAGAAUUUUUAAAUCUGCUCAUCACACAUUUGGAGGCCAGGACUUCAGUAGGCAGCUCUUCUAGCAUUGUGAGGGCAGGAGGAGUAACCUUCCCCAGCUGUGGAACAUUCCCAUGGCAGAUGAUAGGUGAGAUUUCUGGAAGUGAUGGCCAUUCUAGCCCUCUCCUUGGUCCUCUCCUAGAACUUCUGUUCUCAUAAAUUUUCCUGUCCAUUGGUUUAUUUCUGGAUCAUUCAGUACUCUCCAUUAACCUGAAAUUCUAGAGUUGAGCAGCAUUAAUUGGUGGGGUGAACAUUGCAGGACAGUAGCAUGAGGCUUGUGGGGUCCUAGAUGGAUAGAUUACUUGAUGGAUGGAUGGAUGGGGGCCUGUCAUUGCUGACCAUUAAUACAAUUUGUGCUUCUCUUAUGUGUGGUGGGGUAAUAUUUGGAGACAGCCAUCAAUAUACAUUUUGUUCCUGAAAAAAUAUUUUUAUUUCUCAGCUUUUCCACAUUAAAAGUAAGAGAUAUGAUAUCUUCUUCACUGGAUUAUUGUGAGGAUUAAAUGGGAUAAUUUCAGAAAGCUGUUUAGUCUGUAUAUUAAUUCACAGUAAGAGAGAAAUACCUGGCCAUUAUUAUUCCCUCCUUUGCUGUUUAGUAACUUGCCCAAGAUCACACAGCCAGUGCAUACUGAGCCCAGAUCUGUCCUGCCCCACUGGGAAGCAGCUGCUGGCUUAGAUUUCUCUGGAACCUCAUCUUUCCCCCUUAGAGAGAGAAUAGCACCACUUCCCAACAUCAGUGUAGACCAGUCCUCUCCUUUAACUGGUCACAUUGUCUGUGCUGGAAGGAGGAAAGAGGUAGGGUGUGUGUGUGUGUGUGUGUGUGUGUGUGUGUGUGUGUGUGUGUGAGCAAGAUUCUAUGCAAAUGAGUGGCCUCCCUGCCUCUCUUUGCCCCCAGAUUGGCUCCAAAGGUCCCUGCUUGCCCUGAAGCUCAAGUAUAAAUACCCCAAAAGAGGAAUAUCAGCACUGGAAUCUCUGUGUUGAAAGCUUUAUCUCUGGAGCAAGUGAAUUCCUGCCCCCCACACAUUCACCCGGGGGGAGCCUCAGAACUGAGGGAGAAGGAAGGGGAAGGGCCAGCCUCAGAGAGGUCUUGUUGAAUUGGAUAGAAAGUUGCUGGAGAAAUCAGCCUUUGCAGCCAGAGGCAAAGGCUAGGCUCUAACUGGCCUUCAUGGCUAGACUUGACCCUAGGGUAGCCUCCAGGGCCCUUCUAAGUCUGAGGCCCCCAAAGAGGGCAGGGCCUGAGAUAGUCAGAGCUAAACAGAUGGAGGCAGCUCGGUCAGAGCCAGGCCCUUCCUCCCCAUGCAACCCGCCUUCAGGUACAAACAGCAGAGCGUGGACAGAAUGGAGUUGUGGCUUGUAAAAUAGGCAGCCUCCAGGCAUGAUUGAGACUUGGAUUUGUUCUUCAAAAAGUACCUAGUACCAACCCCAAGAGGACUGUUGUUGAAAGCAGAACAGCCACUGCAUUUUCUCCAUAAAGAUUUCACCUGUAACUCGUAACUUCUAUUUUGCUGGUGCUAAGCAACUACAGUAAAGUCGUCAUCAGAAACCACAGUUAAUUUGAACAUUUUUUAAAGCUGCAUUUCAGAAAGGGCCUUGAAUCUUUAAACACAACAUCCAGAGCGCUGGUUUUCCAUAAAUACAUAAAUGAGGUAGAUACGCAUGCAGCUUGGAUGAGAUCCAUGAGUCAUGGACACACUGCCAAGAGCCUUGCAGAGCAGCCAAUGGACCAGUCAGGUGGCAGAGAACCCAAGCACCACUAAAAGGACACCCAUACAUGAAAAUUCAGCUGUGGGAAGCAGUUACAUUAAUGAAGGUAGGUUAUUUUAUUGUGCAAGAUUUUUCUCAGGAUUCCUGGUGAUAAAGAGUCAUUCUGGAUCACUCACAAUAUAGUCUGAUUUAUAAAAAGCCCAUUUGUUCACAACACGCAGUGUUUGUAAAAGCAAAACAGUUGGUUUGGCUACAGAAGAAAGGAGGAUCUACUGUUCAUGUGCGAGCAGCAAGGGCGAUGUUCAGUUGACG